rnacentral:rRNA from 1 species
UUUUUGACUGGUUUUUUCAAAGACAUUGUUUAUUGAUGAGAUAAUAAAUAUUUUCUGCCCGCUGCGUGAUUUUUAUCGUUAGUGAAGGGCUGCGGUAUUUUGACUGUAUAAAGGUAGCAUAAUCAUUAGUUCUUUAAUUGUGGACUGGUAUGAAGAGGAAACGGGGGAGUGGUUUAUUUUUUUGAAUACUUGAAUUUGAUUUUUGAUGUGAAAAAUCUUAGAUGAGACUAUAGGACAAGAAGACCCUAAUAAGUUUUAUGGCUAUUACACAAGAGUGUAGAGGGCGAAGACUGAUUAGCAUAAUUUGUAAUAUGUUAGUUGACUGGGGCAGUAAAUACAAAAACAUUAUUUUUUAUUCAAUUUUAUUUAAAGCGAAUUGUGACCUGAUUAGGUCAGAUGGGCGAGUAAUUACUUUAGGGAUAACAGCGUUAUCAUUUUUAAGAGUUCAAAUCGGUGAAGUGGUUUGCGACCUCGAUGUUGGAUUAAGGGCUUAGCAUUGGCGCAGUAGUUAGUGAAGUGUCGUCGUGCAGUCC